GGUGAGGGGGGGGGGGUUGGGAAAUUAGAUCGAUGCCUGGGUCUCGGAUACCAUGUAGAGAAACAGGGUUGAGGGCAAUUGGCCACACCUCAAUGAGAGGGGGGCACCUUCUAUUAUAUAGAGCUGGCUGGCCUGCUUUACAAGGCAGGGAUAAUUCCCCUGAUUUACAUCUGCUAUAUCUAGCAACUAAUCCCUGAUUUACAUCUACUAUCUAUAGCAGCUAGGAUUCUAUCCCUGAUUUACAUCUGCUAUCUAUAGCAGCUAGGAUAUCCACAGAUGGCAUAUUCUAUUGCCUAACAGUGAUUACCCCCGAAUAGUGGCAAAACGCCCUCCGAGAAAUUCCACAUAAGUGAGAGACCCGUAGUGGGCCCAGCUGGUGCAAAUUUGGCAUCAGUAGGGCCUGCAACUCGGGAGCCAAGCUCCUGAAGCGCAGGUCCCGGGGCCAUGUAGGACCAGCACCCACACACUAUGGACCACACCCUCAGGCAGAAAGGCAUAGGUAGUAUGGACCCGGUGCUACGUGACGGUCCCAGGCAAGAUGACCCCAAGAACGACGGGUGGGACGACUCUGGUUCCAUGUGCGACUCUGACCACAUCAGCCUUGUGGCGCCUAGCAAGGAUAUAAGUCUCAUGUUCAUCACAUUUAAUGUGAUGAAAGGCAUAGGUAGUAUGAACCCGGUGCUACGUGACGGUCCCAGGCAAGAUGACCCCAAGAACGACGGGUGGGACGACUCUGGUUCCAUGUGCGACUCUGACCACAUCAGCCUUGUGGCGCCUAGCAAGGAUAUAAGUCUCAUGUUCAUCACAUUUAAUGUGAUG
rnacentral:misc_RNA from 1 species